CUUACCAUUAAUUAAGCUAACCCAUUUCAGUCAGCGAUUAAGUUUACACUCGAACACACACACACGCGUCCAGGUUUCAUUAGAUCGGUAUUAAACUGGUUUUUGUUAAACUAGUUUAACGCAAGCACGUGCAAGGCUUGGCUCUACCUGACGACCACCCUGCGCGGGGAGGGCGACGCGCCUCGUCCUGCCACCCCAGCUCUCGGGGAAGAACCUGAACUGCAGCGGGUAAGGCACGGCCACGGGGUUGAUUUUCGGCAGCCGCGUUAACCCCCUCCGCUGCCCUGGGAGAGUCCGCAGGGCUGGAGCCUUCAGGCGCAGCACUGGGAGCUGUACAUCAGCGUGGCUGUUGUCAUUCGUAUCCGGAUCACAUCAAAUACCGAACUUAAAGAGCAAGCGCAAGACUCCAGAUCCUGACCUGGAGAGGUUUCAUCUUUCCACGUUCAAUGUCAGAAACAUCUCUGAUUGCGUAUCACAAUUACUGCCGAUUCCCUUUCCCCUUGCGCUCCCCUGGCUGAAAGCUGUUUCCUUUCCGUGAUGCUGAAGUUGGCUUUUUUUUUUUUUUUUCCACAGUACCAGCAAUUUCAGCUCCCCGGAGGCCGUGCGGCGGCAGUCUCCCGUGCUCACAGCUUGUCAGACAGCUCGGCGUGCCGGCUGACACCCAUGCAGGCUGUUUAACGGUGCAUGAUACGUAUAUAUGUGUAUAUGUAUAACCCACGCACGGUAACGAGCAGCGGUACGUCCCGGGUGCAGGAAGGCAUCCCCAUGCGUUUCCUCCUGCACCUCAACAGCCUGCGCGCAGCUUUGGUUCAGCGGGACAGCUGCCGGCCUGGCCGGAAAGUCCCAGGCUUGGGGCUCAGGCACAUCGUGAAAGCACCAGACAGAUGCCGUCACCUGGCUGUGCCUUCCGUCCUCCUGCCGCUUGCUUCUGCCCGUGGGGAUGGUGAGCUUGCCGGUGCAGACUGCUCCUCCUACGCCUCAGACAGCUGUAGCACCAGCGGAUCAGUGGCACGGACGUACGAAGUACUGCUAACGGGGGAGAAACUUUAAUGGAUGCCAUACACUCAGCGCUUCCUUUUGCCUCUGCAAACCUCCUCCAGAGAUACCAUGCAGAUUGUAUAUACUGGGGUAUCUAUUUUUAGCUCUGACUUGCAUGGGAGUCAGUAUAACCUUAUUCCUUGUUGAGCGAACAGGAUGUCCUGGAUACGGGGCAUUCUGAAGCCAGUGUUUAGAUAACAUCUAUUUAAACAAUGGGGGAUUUAAACAAUGGUAGUAAAAAUUGAUGAAUUCUCUCUGGUGCUGAUUUUGAGGUCAUGGUUAUUGGUGUACAACCUAAUAUUUUUCUGGAGUACGCAAUUGCUGUUAAAAACCUCAUAACAUUUAUUUUAUUUUAGUUUUAGUUUUAUACAGGAACAAGAAGACUACUACCUAAGUGAAAAAGGAGGAGCAUCAGCAGUAUAACUUGCCAGCAGUGGAAUUUAGAGAUCUUUUAAUCCAAACAAAUGAGCUGCUACUGCCUUGGGAGACCCAGAAAGAGGAAAAACAAAUCUGAUAGCCACCACAGAAGUAAAUGCAUUGCAUGGGGUCUGGCUCCUGGAAAGUGGUGGAAAACCACGCAGGAGAGGUGAGUCGCAUCACUGCGACUCGUUCUCAAAUUCACCAUAUUCUUGUUACUAGACGCGACAAGAGGAGCAAAGUACCCCAGACUAGAUAAAACAGUUUGUUUCUUUUCCUCUGUGAUGGGUCGUAAACCGCAAACUACGGCUAAGCUGUGAUAAUGCGGAGGAACUGUACCCGUUGCAAAGCAAACACAGCCCCGGCAGCGUAAUUGCAGCGGGACUGGAAUGGUGGCUAACGAGGAAUGAUGCUGUUUGGUAACUGGAAGCAGUUUUGUGUUUGUGACCACUUCAGUUCUGGUACAGCAGCCAGCAAACGCCCUUGGCUUGUGCAAGCAGACAGAUGGAGUGGCUCUUGAACCGGCUGUGUCCGAGAAAGGUGCGGAUAGUGACGCUGAGCACCUCUGCGAAGUCUCCCCCCCGGCCUAGCCGGUGUUUUGCCCAGAGACCCAGCCUGCGCUCAGGGAGCGGUGAAGCAGCUGGGGGCCCGGGAAAUAAGCCACUGGGCAUCUUUUAUCAGCCGCAGGCUCUACAGCUCUCGUCUUGCCACUGCCUGAGGAGGUGAGAAAGGACUAGCUGGUGAUUUAAACAGCGGUAGUAAAAAUUAAUGGUGUGGAUUCACCCUGGUCCUGAUUUUGAGGUCAUGGUUAUCAGCGUACAGCCUGUUACUGUGCAGCUUGAGGGAGCCUGCACCAGCACCAGCACCGUCUGGCGCGGGUACGAGCGUGUGCUGAGCCGGCAUUUGCACCGGCGGGUCCGUUGUGGCUGCUCGCACGCUUUGUGCCAGCCGGCCCCUGGGCUCGUGCCAGCCGGCCCAUGGGCUCGUCCCGCCGGCUGGGGUGGCAUCUGCAUUUUCUCCAGCCCGUGGGGCCCAGGGCUGGCAGGGAGGCUGCAGCUGUCGCCCUGCCCGCAGGUCGCACAGUGAUCGUCGCCGUGCUGCGAUGCUGGGGGUCACCCCGUGGGCAGCAGCUGCCUGACAGGCACGAAGGGCCGUGCCAGCUCCUGCAGAUGUAGCUGUCUGUCUCCUGAGCGUCGACGUGCAGCUAAUCAAAUCAACCUUGCAUGAAAAGAGAGCGCAGGCUGUCUUGAAAAAUCAGUAUGCCUGUAGCAAGACCUGAAGGCAUGUGGAAAAAGGUGUAAAAAAGCACAGGCUAUUAAAAAUGGAAAGUAUGGGCGAAUGGUUUCAAAGAGUUCAACGGUAUUUUUCAGUAAAACAUCUUGAAGGAUCGGUUUCAUACCAGCACAGCUGUGCUUUGUAAACAUUCUUGGGGUUUGUGGGUGCAGAACAAAGUGUUUGAAGUGACGGGUCACGGGCAAUAAGCAGCAUGAUGAAUGUUUUUGUCCUCUUAUCCGGCUUUGUGAAGAAAUACAGGAAAACAUGAAACGAGGAGUGGGGAAGAAAGAUGCUUUUUGCUUCCUGGUUGUUUUCAGAGAUAGGGCUGUUGUGGAAUGACAUUUCUGAGUAGCAAGGCCAUGGCUUCAGCUGUCCUACAGUUGUCAGAAAACACGCUCUUGGUUGUGGGCCAUGGAAUAUUGUGCUGGUUGAGGUGGUAUAAAAUUGCCUACAGUUUCUUACCUUUACAUCUGCUUUAUUUUU